CCCUUAGAUGUUCUGGGCCGCACGCGCGCUACACUGAUGCAUUCAACGAGCCUAUCCUUGACCGACAGGUCCGGGUAAUCUUUGAAUCUGCAUCGUGACGGGGAUAGAUUAUUGCAAUUAUUAAUCUUCAACGAGGAAUGCCUAGUAGGCGCAAGUCAUCAGCUUGCGUCGAUUACGUCCCUGCCCUUUGUACACACCGCCCGUCGCUCCUACCGAUUGGGUGUGCUGGUGAAAUGUUCGGAUAGGCCGUUUGUCGCGGUUUCCGCGGCUCGUGGCUGAGAAGUUCAUUAAACCCUCCCACCUAGAGGAAGGAGAAGUCGUAACA
rnacentral:rRNA from 1 species